GCCGUUGUAGCUCAGUUGGUAGAGCAUUCCCAUGGUAAGGGAAAGGUCUGCGGUUCGAAUCCGCACAACGGCUCCA
rnacentral:tRNA from 1 species